rnacentral:tRNA from 1 species
AUUUAGGUAGUUCAAUUAGAAUAUAACGUUGAAAGCGUUAAGGUGCUCUGCCCUAGAUG